rnacentral:lncRNA from 1 species
UUGGGGGUUCCGGUUCUAAAGUAAAGAAAAUAGCAGAUCCAUACCACAUUGGGACAGGCAGGUUGUGGGAGAGUAUGUUGAAGUUGGGGUUAAGAAAAAUAUAAAAAAUAUAUGUGAAGAAAAAAAGAUUUAAACAAAAAUAUAUACAAAUAUAUACACAGGACAUGACAAGACGAAGACAAAAGAUGCCUGACUGCUACGCCAUCUUGGAGAAAACAAUAAAAAAUAAAUUAUCAGAACCACCUGCAACUGGACACGGACAUGUAUAAGAUAACUGGUUUCCAGAAUUGGGAACGAAGAGAGUACUGCCAAUACCAGGUCGGUGGUUUCUGGUCCCCUGGCUGAUGCGUCUCCCCUGACACCCCUCCACUGAACAUCGAUGGGACCCCUACAUAUGCCGUCUGGUCCCUACUGGACUCCCGACGUCGGCUUCAGUACCUG